UCACAGAAAGCCUAAACAACCUGCUGUGCGGUGCAUGAAAAAGGUUGUAUCAGAAGAACAUCUGCACAUUAGUGCAGCAAUUAGCUUAUACAGUAGCGCCCGGUGGUGAAAUAGCUUUAAUCUUUUUUCCACAUACGAAAAUGAUGCAUAAUAUAAAGGGAUGCUUACGCUGAAGUCAGACCUGACAACUGCUGUGGUGUCUCAAACAUUUCAUCAAAAGUAGCUCCUUCCAGGGGCCUGAAGGGGAGGAGGAAAGGGGGAUCACAACAUCGAACGGAUCAAACAAGCACUCUUCAGAGAAGACAUCAGUCCCUCACUGAUCUUUGGCACGAUGCGAGCAUCUUUGAGGGAACGCAGAUGCCUGCUCCGUGGCCUGCUGUGGAGAAGAAGCGCUUGCACUGGGGUGCCUGGCCCCGCAGGAGUGACCCGGACACAGCUGUCCCACUGGGCACCGCAGCCUGCCCAGAGCGGCGGGGGGGAACCCUGCGCCGCACAAGCACCCGCCCAGGAGGGAGCAACAGGGCGUCCGUGCAGAUGUUGUUGCUGAAAACAAGCUGUGUUUGUUCAGGCAGGGCUGCUCCAUCCAGCAAUGGCGGAUUUGGCUAAAAUAAUGCCCCUCCCUUGCUCCAACCACUAAUUAUGAAAAAAAGGGCUUUGGAUCUUUUUUCCAACAUAGAUCAUUUCACCAUCCUAGACCAAGGCAUCAUUUGGCAAACUGUUACGCAGGCAAAAUUUGGAGAGGGCAGUAAUUCCUGGGGAGGAAGGAGGCAGCAGGAGCAUGUAACAGGCAACAGGAUCAACUCCAGGGCUGGAGUACUGACUGGCUGAGCUGGUUUUGCACCUAACAGUACAAAUCCUAUUGCUUCAGCCUCCAUGGGCAAACAGGAAAGGUUUUCCUCACCUCUUAGGAACUUCUUCAGUGAAAGAGGUUCUUGGGGACUGUAUUCAAGGAAGCUUGUAAGAUUACAUGAAUUUAGCUGCACCUGCUCCAUCCAGAGCGACAGUCUUCUACUCCUCAAAUGGAGAGUUUAGCUCACGACCCUCCCACAACACUCUAAGUCUCUUCUUGUUCUGGAUAUCUGGAUGGGUUGCUCCCCUGACUAAAAACAAACUUGCUAGCUAUGGUGGUCUGAAAUACUAUCAGCAAAUUAUUUACUUAUCCAGCACCUUUUCUAGCGCAUGGGGAUGUUUUAUUGCUUAAAGUAGAAUUGAGAGCAAUACCUCUGGGAAGCUCUAUGCACCAUGCUGAGAUUCCUGAAGAAUACCGUGCUGGUAACCUGCUGUCAUCUGCUGGAGAGGAAGAGCUGACUACAGGAAAAGAUUAGAGGAUAACUGUUCGAGCCAUCCUUUGACAUGGUUUGUAAUGGGCAUCAUAAGCCUGUUGCCAUGAUUACAAGUUGAGGGAGCCCCACGCUUGCAUGGUAGGCACUCAGCACUUUGUGGCAUUAGGGAAUUGCAAAAAUAAGUAAUUCCAUCCCCAAACAGUUUUUUGUGAAGCAUCUAAAAAAAGAUCCCCAAAUCCCUUUGGACAUUUGCACCACAGGAAUGAGGAUGGCUUGUCUGUAGCUCAUGCGCUCUCACCAAAGCUGAUGUUAACCUGCUCCUCUCCGAAUGCUUAGCUACACAUGCCCUGAACUUUUCUGCCCAUUGACCGCUGCAGCAAUAGCCCUACUGAAAUACUGAUGUCAGGAACAGAAACCUGCUCGCAUGGGCUGGAGCAAGCUUUUUUACUACAGCGUUACCCAAUUCUGUCCUAAAUUGGGUGAAAGAAUAUCCACGCGUUCUUUCAAGCCAAUGACUUUUAAAAGCAUUUAGAAGGCUUUUAGGGCAAAAAUUUCCUGGCCUCAGGCCACCAGUGACACAGGAGGUGGUUUCACUAAGAGCAAGGGGUAUUAGGCCUCACUCACAAAACCAGAUACUCAUUUUAACUAAUCCCUCAGCUGGCACAUCAUAGUUAACGUCUUGAAACAAUUUGGGUCUCCCAUCUGCUUUGUGCAGAGAGGUCCACUGCCUCCAAAUUCAGACUGGGCAGAUUUCACUGAUUGUACAGCCUCCAGUGGGAUUUCUGCUUGCAGAGAGCUGAGAAUACCUGGCCCAUACACACCACGUAAAUAUACAUACACAUAGUUACGGCAACAACUAUUUUUAUGGCUGCAAAGUACCAUGGAAGCAGACGGUGCUGUAAUAAAACUACAAUAAUCGGAGUGAUUUACAUCCACAGGCAAUUCCAAUUCUCAUUAGAAAUACAUUAAAUAAAGACACUCGAGAUGAAAGCUGUUCUCCAACUCUAGGCUUCAAGCUCUCCCAGAGUCACUGAUGUUUUUGCUGCAGCCCCAUGUAAAGAUGGAGCUGGGGAUUUGCCUUUAGGUAUCACACUCUCGCUUGAACCUAUACCAAGACUUUGGUCUGAGCCUACCUCCAGCAGAAACGGAAGGGAAAAACACUUUUCUUAGAAGCAGAAGAUUUUAAGGCUGCAUUUCUUUCUGAAAAGAAAGUUAAAAUUGCACAUGCAUGCUUAAGCAGCACAGGCAGUCCUUCCCUUGAAAAUCAGAGCCCAGCAGUUCCUCCAGUGCCCAAGUGCCUCUAUACUGCCAGCUAUCCCCAAGCCACCUGCACUCUCCAGGAAUAACAAAGUAAGUAAGGACAAAUACAAAUUGGGCCCCUUUUGCCAGCCCUUUCACCAUGGUCUCUGGGUAGAAGCCCAGUUAUGCAGGGCAAGGCAAGGCCAGAGAUGUGCAGGAGGACCACAUCUGUCCAGCUGAAGUCCAUGUCCUGAGCCAGGGCCCUCACACAUGAGCCACUGGGCUCUGAGGCAAAUGAGCACGGCUGAGAUGGUGUAAACACACAUUUCUGAACCACAAGCCCAUCUUCCCUGCUUUUGCUCCUUGACUGGUUACACAAGUCACCUUGGCUGGGCUUCCCAGGCCUCCUGUACACCAUUGCUUCUCACUUGGCUACUGGGAAAGUAAAUGGCAGUCCAUAACUCCCCGUUCGGCCUCAAGCUCCUGCUCUCCCAUGUGCAGCCUGGUCGACCAGCUCCCGCUAGCCCUCUGCUCUGCUAGGCCUGACCUGGAGCUAACUGGAUCCUGGUAGAGGGGGUGCACAAUGCACCUAAUUUACAUUUUGAGCUGCUUUCCAGUGCAAUUUUGAGAGGCUAGCCUCAGACAGCCCUUUACCAGACAAGGUUGCUGCACCCAAAAACGAGCUCCAGAAAGGCAAAGGAUCCAGCGCAGCAUCUUACUUGCACACCUCCGCUCAGCAUACACAGCUCACUAGCCCAGAGCACCUCUUCCCAUAACCCCUUGCUCUUCUCAAGGGACACGCUUUGUGAGAAAGAUGGCAAAGACAGCAGCAAGUCCAUGGCACAGUGCAAUUAUGGUGCACCAGCCAUGGCAAAGCUGAUUGCCAGCCAUUCCCCUGGCAGGGACCUUUCCAGGGCCACCUCUGGGUGCUGCUGCAGUGAAGGCUCCUGGGAGCUUCUUCCCAGGCAGCACAGCCUGCCUUUUCUUUCCCUGUAUACUUUAAUUUUUAGCAGUUUCACCUGUGGUUUUUUGCAAUUCAGUUUGCAAUUUGUUCCUGAGUGGUUUAAUUUGCACCUUUUAAAUUAAAACCAACUUUCUUGCUGUUAUCAGGCAGCAGGUCUGAGCAUACAGCUACAAAGCUUCUAUUUUUAUGUACAUGUGAGCUCAGUCAAGCCCAGGGUUCCUUGCAGCACUGUGGUUCUCAGCCCAGAGCUAUGGCAAUGGGGAGCUGAAAUGCCAGAAAGUUUCCAUGAAACAUUUUUUAAAGUGUCAUCAAGCUACAGAAUGAAAUGGCACCUCAAGAUCCCAUAUGAGAAACUCUGAAAUUCAUAUUUCAUUUGACUUUAAAAAAUCUGCCAUUAAUCAUUGCUAUUCACAUUAUUCACAAGGAGCAAAAUAUUCCAUUGCGGAACAGAAGCCUCCUCACUCCAGAAGUUAAAAAAAAAAAAAAAGGACAGAGCAAGUGAGAAGUCCUGUGACAAAUCACAGAGUAUCUUGCAAUCUGCAAAACAGCACAUUCAUUAGCACGUAAUUACUUACUGCAGACUUCAUGUGUGGCAUAGAUGUAAAUAUAUUUGGGCCUCCCUGAAGUGUGGGACUCAAAUAGCUCCUGGGGGAACUUUCCAGCUUUGCCAAUGAGCUAGGUGGGCAGAGUCUAUCCUAUGCCUUUAGUUUCUGCAGUUGCAAUGUCUAACUUCAUGAGACAAAGUUCACGGAGGUGAUUCACUCAGGAGGCAUGUCAAAACAGAGCAUCAGGCUGUAAGAACACAGAACAGCUGUCCUGGGCAGACAGACCUCUCCAGCCCAUACCCAAUGGCCUGGAGAAGAUGUCUAGGAAGGGCGUAAGAAAAGUGCAGGCAUGCAACCAGCCUUCCCCAGGGCAAUCCCACCCCAUGCCUCAGGGACUUCCUCAGCCUGAAGUAACCUCCCUGUGUUUAAGAGCCCUUGAAGGAAUUUUCUUCCAUGAGUGUGAAUUGCUGUCUGACCCCUUAUGAUGCUGUUGGCACACAACCUGUGCCAACAAUCUCAGAGACUAAGUGCUGAAAUACCUUUUUCCUCCUUUUAAACCUGCUUCCUAAGAAAUUUAUUUUGUCUUUAAGUCUCAUGAGAAAGAGUUAAGGUUCCUUCCCAUUUCCGUUUCUUUCGCAGCCCUCUGUCACAGUCACCCUCCUGCUGUGGCCAUCUCUUUUCUAAGGUGGUAUAGCCUAGCCUACAAAGCCAAUUCUCAUGCAGAAGCCCUUCCAUACCUUUGGUCACCUUUUUUGCCCACCAGUGCAAUGCUGGCUGUGUUGAUAUGCCUGAAGUAUCUCCAGAGGAGUCAAGGUAGGUGCAGGUAGCAGGGGAGCCACAUCAGCACAAUAUUAUGUCUGAGGUUAUCAUGCUACGUGUGCGGCGUUGCCCCGUUGGCCUACACAUGAUGCACAGAAGUCUCAUGUGCAGCCUUGUGAAGCACGCUCAACCCCCGCACAUCACUGCUGGAUUUGCCAGUGUGUAUGCUGUUUUUUUGGAUCCAGCUCCCAGUGCCCCAGUGUGAUCACAUGGUCAUGGUACGGUGGAGGUAGGGACGAAGCUGAGCAUUACUUGGCCCAUUUUGGAAAUAGCGGGCGGGGGGGGAAGGGGCAGCCCAACUGCCUCUGUCUCCCAGCCCCUGUUCGAGGGCACCCAGCAAGCAAAUGCAGAGCCUGCACCUGAGGAACAACCACAGAGGAAACCUCGUACUUUGUAUCCUGGGCAAAGGAUGCUUCCACCCAGGAGGUAAAUUAAGAUGGAUGGGGAGAGUGCAGCUCUUCUCCUCGCUGGGAUGCAGAGGGAGCACCCUCCAGCUGUCGGCAUAGCUUUCCUCUUGCUCUGCUACUCCACAGUUCAUCAACACACUUCAGUUUAAUUACUGCUCUUACUUCCUGCUUUCGAGAAGCUGCCCACCCCCUUACUGCUUGAGCAAGGAAUGAUAUUUUACUGUCAUUAAACCAGGCUGGCCAGCAAUAUCCGAUAUGUGUUAAUAUUUGCCUGGUUUUAAGUGAGGACCAGCUGCGAGGCUGAGGGCCGAACACACCAAUCAUCUGUCACAUAUUCUUCUGUAUCUGUCGAUGUGGGGAAUCAAACCGGAUCAAUUUUCUCGGCUGCGUGUUGCUUUCCAGUUGCUACCUCCUCCCCACCUCUCGUUAUCUCAUGACAUUCCUGUGCGCUCACUUGCCGGGGAGCUGAACGAAACCGAUACAAAAGGAAGCUAUGGCAAAAUUUGCACUGACGUUUUCUGGCAUUGUCCUUAUUCUGUAGUAAGUCAAAAUGUAGAAUGUGUCUGAUAUUUGUCAGAGAAAAAAUGUCACCUCCUACCCCUUCUUCCUGAGGAAAAAAAAAAAGAAAAGAAACACAGUCUGGAAGCUUUCAGGGCCCUGUACUCUUCCAACAAAGAAACUCAUAGCAGCCUAAAUGCUAGAGCAAGCUUCAGCACAGAUGUGCAGCUUGCACCCCAAGGAAGAGAUCGUGGUAGCUUCAGUAGCUCCUGCCUCCCGCUGGAUUACUUUUAAAGCAUGCAGCGUCUUCUAGUCUUUCCAGCCUCACACCUGACAUUUUGGGAAUUGCCUGGCUGUUAUCACCAUGGACCUUUUACAUCCCCAUCGUCCCCAACGUGAGAGGGAUAGAAGGAAGGGCUGUUUAUUCCCCACUUCCCUGGUCGAUCUUGCCUGCUGGUGCCUUCCUGUAAUGAAAAAUAUCACAGCAGGAAAUCCUCAAGCGGAAGAAAAAUCUGGUCUGAGUAUUGGUUCUUCUUUCUCUUUCAUGCGUCUUUUCCCCUCUCCAGCUCAAUUUGUGUUCAGCUGUAUAAUACUUUGGGAGGAAAGCCUGCUGGCAUAAAUAGCAUGAACGAUCGCCCUAUUUCCUGUGAUUGUAUAUGUCUAGAUGCAUGGGUGUGUUUCAUGUGUGUACGUGUGCUUUUGAGUAUGAGUAUGCACAUAUGCAAACAUGUAAGUAGGUCAAAGGAUAGCACCUACAUAUAUAUGUAUUAUUUAUUGUACUGUAUGGCAUUUAAAAAUAA